rnacentral:rRNA from 1 species
GAUGAACGCUGGCGGCGUGCCUAAUACAUGCAAGUCGAGCGAACAGACGAGGAGCUUGCUCCUCUGUCGUUAGCGGCGGACGUGUGAGUAACAUGUGGAUAACCUACCUAUAAGACUGGGAUAACUUCGGGAAACGGGAGCUAAUACCGGAUAAUAUAUUGCACCGCAUGGUUCAAUAGUGAAAGACGGUUUUGCUGUCACUUAUAGAUGGAUCCGGGCCGCAUUAGCUAGUUGGUAAGGUAACGGCUUACCAAGGCAACUAUGCGUAGCCGACGUGAGUGGCGGGUCGGCGACACUAGAGCGUGGACAGGCACAAGACGACUGCGGGAGGCAGCAGUCGCCAACCUGACGCAAUGGGCGAGAGCCUGGCACAGCAGCCCGACGCGAGUGGUGAAAACGCUGGGAUCGUAAAGCCCGGUUAUGGGUGAAGAACAAAUGUGGAAGGAACCAUGCACGGAGUGACGGUACCGAAUCAAAAAGCCACGGCUAACUACGUG